rnacentral:tRNA from 1 species
GGUUGUGGCUCAGUGGCAGGGUGCUUGCCUAGCAUGUGUGAGGCACUGGGUUCGAUUCUCAGCACUG